AAGUCGUAACAAGGUCUCCGUAGGUGAACCUGCGGAGGGAUCAUUACUGAGUUACCACUCUUAACCCUGUUUACAUAUCUGUUGCUUCGGAGGCGCCCCUCGGGAGGGGAUCUGCUUCGGCCGCCUCCAAAAGCAUUUUUUAAACUUUUAAACUUUAUUAUACUCUGAAAAGAAAACAAAAAUCAAAACCUCAACAACGGAUCUCUUGGUUACA
rnacentral:misc_RNA from 1 species